rnacentral:rRNA from 1 species
CGAGUGGCGGACGGGUGAGUAACACGUGACCAACCUACCUUCGGGAGGGGGACAACCUGGGGAAACCUGGGCUAAUACCGCAUAUCGCCCACGGGCCGCAUGACCUGUGGAUAAAAGGGAGCCUCUGCUUGCACGCUCCCACCCGAAGAGGGGGUCGCGGCGUAUCAGCUUGUUGGUGGGGUAACGGCCUACCAAGGCGACGACGCGUAGCGGGUCUGAGAGGACGACCCGUCACAUUGGGACUGAGAUACGGCCCAGACUCCUACGGGAGGCAGCAGUGGGGAAUAUUGCGCAAUGGCCGAAAGGUUGACGCAGCGACGCCGCGUGUGGGAGGACGCCCUUCGGGGUGUAAACCACUGUCCAGGGGGGAAGAACUUCGUAGGUGCGAAUAGUGCUUACGGUUGACGGUACCCCCAGAGGAAGCGCCGGCUAACUCCGUGCCAGCAGCCGCGGUAAGACGGAGGGCGCAAGCGUUGUUCGGAAUUACUGGGCGUAAAGGGCAGGUAGGUGGGUCUGUUAAGUCUUCUGUGAAAAUCCGGGGCUCAACCCCGCGAAAUGCAGGUGAAACUGGCAGACUUGAGACCGGUAGAGGCUAGCGGAAUUCCUGGUGUAGCGGUGGAAUGCGUAGAUAUCAGGAAGAACACCUGUGGCGAAGGCGGCUAGCUGGGCCGGUUCUGACACUGAACUGCGAAAAGCGUGGGGAGCAACAGGAUUAGAUACCCUGGUAGUCCACGCCGUAACGAUGGGCACUAGAUGCUGGGCAUAUAGACGUGUUCAGUGUCGUCGCUAACGCAUUA